CAGGCAAUAUGGAAAUCCAAGGCCCACUAACCUGCCAAAGCAAACCGACGGUCGGAGAGAAAUUGAAGAUUUUUUACGAUGCAGCGACGAUCAUGUUCGUUGGGAAUGUGGGGCAAUCGCCAACCCUCCCACCUGAUUCAAAAGAAUCCUUCAUCCGGCCAAAUCCGACCGUUGAAGACCCUAUAAGAUGGGUCAUGUUUCUAGGGCCUUGGAGCCACACCUAAGACUCACCGAUCCAAUCCGGACCGUGUAUUAGCAAAUUGGUGGGGCGAUGCAGUGGGGCCAGAUUGGGAUUUUGGGUCUGAAUAUUUGUAUAGUGGGCCCGGUUUAUACACCACAUUAUUUUCAUUGUAUCAUUUAAUAUCAUGUGUAUGGUAAAAGGCUGGUUCCUCUACAACUUGUAUAGAACAAGGUUAUUCUAUAA